rnacentral:lncRNA from 1 species
CCACGUAUUUGAUCCCGGAGAGUCUGAUUCAGAUGACAACUGUACAGAUGUUACUGCGGCCGGCACACAGUGUGAGUGCUGGGCUGGGGGAGCCCUGGGAAGUGCGGCCUCCGUGGGGAGCACGCUCCAGCUCCAGCAGUCCUUCAGAGGCCCCGAGUUCGCCCACAGUUCUGUAGACGUGGACGGGCC